GAAAACCACCCUGCGGCAGUCAAGUAUUAGCAAAGUUACCUCAACCCUUUGAUGUCGGCCCUUCCUGUCACCACAAACCAGAACUCACCAAGUGUUAGUCAGCUCGCCCAUUAACAAUGAACACGAGCUGGGUUUAGACUGCCAUGAGACAAGUU
rnacentral:ncRNA from 1 species